rnacentral:rRNA from 1 species
CUACGUGCCAGCAGCCGCGGUAAUACGGAAGGUCCAGGCGUUAUCCGGAUUUAUUGGGUUUAAAGGGAGCGUAGGCUGGAGAUUAAGUGUGUUGUGAAAUGUAGACGCUCAACGUCUGACCUGCAGCGCAUACUGGUUUCCUUGAGUACGCACAACGUUGGCGGAAUUCGUCGUGUAGCGGUGAAAUGCUUAGAUAUGACGAAGAACUCCGAUUGCGAAGGCAGCUGACGGGAGCGCAACUGACGCUUAAGCUCGAAGGUGCGGGUAUCAAACAGGAUUAGAUACCCUGGUAGUCCGCACAGUAAACGAUGGAUGCCCGCUGUUGGUACCUGGUAUCAGCGGCUAAGCGAAAGCAUUAAGCAUCCCGCCUGGGGAGUACGCCGGCAACGGUGAAACUCAAAGGAAUUGACGGGGGCCCGCACAAGCGGAGGAACAUGUGGUUUAAUUCGAUGAUACGCGAGGAACCUUACCCGGGCUUGAA